UUUAAAUUGUAUAUCAGGAGGUGUUGGCUUAGGAUACCAAUUUUUUGUGAGACUAGAGGGGCUGACUCUGUUUGUUAAUCUUUGGAUUUGUGGAUUAUUUUCUAACAUAAGUUGAAGCUUAUUAAGGAUUUCUUGCUCAGAGAGACCAUCAAUAUUCCAUUCAUAUAACUUAUCUGAAGAGACUAAAAACUGACUCUGGGUGUUUCGUUCUUUAAAUUGUAUAUCAGGAGGUGUUGGCUUAGGAUACCAAUUUUUUGUGAGACUAGAGGGGCUGACUCUGUUUGUUAAUCUUUGGAUUUGUGGAUUAUUUUCUAACUCAAGAUUUCUAAACGCAUUUUCAAUUUUGGAAAUAUUACUAGUUUCUAUUUCCAUCUGACAAUUGAUUCAGGCUCAGAGGAGUUAUGGAAAGCAAAAGGUGACUCAGAGGACCCUAAGACUUUGACGCUUGUUUCAACUUUUUCUUUAUCUUUUUUUUUUGACUGGCGUUAAAUCUUCUAACAUUUUCUCAAUUUUUGUCAUUGUUUUUUUUGUCUUAAAAGUUGGACUUGAUUUUAAAUCCUGGAAGUAACUAAGGGUUUCUCAUGUUGCUUAGGUGUGAGUUCUUUCGCAAUAAUUUAUCAACUUUUAUUUCUAUCUUAUCUAAUUGUUUACCUUUGACAACUAGACUCUGGUUGGUGUAAUUAUUUUGCUCAACUAUUAUUUUAUUCUUUGGAUCAGGGAUCUUAAAAGGAUUGGCAACUAUCUUGAAUUUCUGAUGCUUAAUGAUUAUUGUUUCUACGGGUGGAUGACUAGCGAGAAUCUCAGUGUGAUCUAUCUUUUCCCAUUUUUUCCGGGUUAAAGUUUUUAACUCAUUAGGCAAAUGUCUGCUUUCUCCAAAGUCAAGAUAAUAUAUUUCAACUUUAGCAGUGCGCAUGUAUUCUUUCCAAUCAUUAAAAAUAUGUUGUCUUUUGACUCUAUCAGAGAUGACUGAAUGGUAAUAAUCUCUUCUAGCUUGAUUCUCAGGGGCAUGCAAAUGAUUAUCUAAUCUUUUCCAAUCAAUUACAAAUUUUUUAUUAAGUGUUCUCAGUUGAUUACCUAUGAAAUCGAAUUUAGUGGGUGAAUCAGGGGACUCAGACUUAGUAUCUUCCUGGGCUGGGGUUUUCCCGUAAACAGGAUGAGUAACUUGGGAAGUUUUUCUUAAUGAUUCUAAUUUUAAAUCAAUUAAAGAUUUUUCUAACUCUAGGUCUUGUUCUAGGGUAGAGGAAGAAGCUGGAAAGGAAUGCCUUGCAGGAACAUGUCUCUGGGAUUGACCAGGUGUAGGUAACUGUUGUAACUGGAUUGUCGACUUUUG
rnacentral:lncRNA from 1 species